rnacentral:rRNA from 1 species
UACGUAGGGUGCGAGCGUUAAUCGGAAUUACUGGGCGUAAAGCGUGCGCAGGCGGUUUUGUAAGCCAGAUGUGAAAUCCCCGGGCUCAACCUGGGAAUGGCAUUUGGGACUGCAAGGCUGGAGUGUGGCAGAGGAGACUGGAAUUCCUGGUGUAGCAGUGAAAUGCGUAGAUAUCGGGAGGAAUACCGAUGGCGAAGGCAGGUCUCUGGGCUGACACUGACGCUCAUGCACGAAAGCGUGGGGAGCAAACAGG